rfam:Thielavia terrestris NRRL 8126 chromosome 2, complete sequence.
GGGCGUGUGGCUCAGUUGGUAGAGCGUUCGCUUAGCAUCUCGACUGCGAAAGGUCCUGGGUUCGAUUCCCAGCUCGUCCA